UAGGUUAACGAGGCGAACCGGGGGAACUGAAACAUCUAAGUACCCCGAGGAAAAGAAAUCAACCGAGAUUCCCCCAGUAGCGGCGAGCGAACGGGGAGCAGCCCGGAGUCUGAAUCAGCUUGUGUGUUAGUGGAACGGUCUGGAAAGUCCGACGGUACAGGGUGAUAGUCCCGUACACGAAAGCACACAUGCUGUGAACUCGAAGAGUAGGGCGGGACACGUGGUAUCCUGUCUGAAUAUGGGGGGACCAUCCUCCAAGGCUAAAUACUCCUGACUGACCGAUAGUGAACCAGUACCGUGAGGGAAAGGCGAAAAGAACCCCGGCGAGGGGAGUGAAAAAGAACCUGAAACCGUGUACGUACAAGCAGUGGGAGCCUCUUUAUGGGGUGACUGCGUACCUUUUGUAUAAUGGGUCAGCGACUUAUAUUCUGUAGCAAGGUUAACCGUAUAGGGGAGCCGAAGGGAAACCGAGUCUUAACUGGGCGUUAAGUUGCAGGGUAUAGACCCGAAACCCGGUGAUCUAGCCAUGGGCAGGUUGAAGGUUGGGUAACACUAACUGGAGGACCGAACCGACUAAUGUUGAAAAAUUAGCGGAUGACCUGUGGCUGGGGGUGAAAGGCCAAUCAAACCGGGAGAUAGCUGGUUCUCCCCGAAAGCUAUUUAGGUAGCGCCUCGUGAACUCAUCUUCGGGGGUAGAGCACUGUUUCGGCUAGGGGGCCAUCCCGGCUUACCAACCCGAUGCAAACUACGAAUACCGAAGAAUGUUAUCACGGGAGACACACGGCGGGUGCUAACGUCCGUCGUGAAGAGGGAAACAACCCAGACCGCCAGCUAAGGUCCCAAAGUCAUGGUUAAGUGGGAAACGAUGUGGGAAGGCACAGACAGCCAGGAUGUUGGCUUAGAAGCAGCCAUCAUUUAAAGAAAGCGUAAUAGCUCACUGGUCGAGUCGGCCUGCGCGGAAGAUGUAACGGGGCUAAACCAUGCACCGAAGCUGCGGCAGCGACGCUUAUGCGUUGUUGGGUAGGGGAGCGUUCUGUAAGCCGUUGAAGGUGUCCUGUGAGGGGUGCUGGAGGUAUCAGAAGUGCGAAUGCUGACAUAAGUAACGAUAAAGCGGGUGAAAAGCCCGCUCGCCGGAAGACCAAGGGUUCCUGUCCAACGUUAAUCGGGGCAGGGUGAGUCGACCCCUAAGGCGAGGCCGAAAGGCGUAGUCGAUGGGAAACAGGUUAAUAUUCCUGUACUUGGUGUUACUGCGAAGGGGGGACGGAGAAGGCUAUGUCAGCCGGGCGACGGUUGUCCCGGUUUAAGCAUGUAGGCGGAGGUUCCAGGUAAAUCCGGUACCUUAUUAACGCUGAGGUGUGAUGACGAGGCACUACGGUGCUGAAGUGAUAAAUGCCCUGCUUCCAGGAAAAGCCUCUAAGCAUCAGGUAACACGAAAUCGUACCCCAAACCGACACAGGUGGUCAGGUAGAGAAUACCAAGGCGCUUGAGAGAACUCGGGUGAAGGAACUAGGCAAAAUGGUGCCGUAACUUCGGGAGAAGGCACGCUGAUAUGUAGGUGAAGUCCCUGCGGACGGAGCUGAAAUCAGUCGAAGAUACCAGCUGGCUGCAACUGUUUAUUAAAAACACAGCACUGUGCAAACACGAAAGUGGACGUAUACGGUGUGACGCCUGCCCGGUGCCGGAAGGUUAAUUGAUGGGGUUAGCGGCAACGCGAAGCUCUUGAUCGAAGCCCCGGUAAACGGCGGCCGUAACUAUAACGGUCCUAAGGUAGCGAAAUUCCUUGUCGGGUAAGUUCCGACCUGCACGAAUGGCGUAAUGAUGGCCAGGCUGUCUCCACCCGAGACUCAGUGAAAUUGAACUCGCUGUGAAGAUGCAGUGUACCCGCGGCAAGACGGAAAGACCCCGUGAACCUUUACUAUAGCUUGACACUGAACACUGGUCCUUGAUGUGUAGGAUAGGUGGGAGGCUUUGAAGCGUGGACGCCAGUCUGCGUGGAGCCAACCUUGAAAUACCACCCUUUAAUGGCUGGUGUUCUAACGUAGACCCGUAAUCCGGGUUGCGGACAGUGUCUGGUGGGUAGUUUGACUGGGGCGGUCUCCUCCCAAAGAGUAACGGAGGAGCACGAAGGUUGGCUAAUCCUGGUCGGACAUCAGGAGGUUAGUGCAAUGGCAUAAGCCAGCUUGACUGCGAGCGUGACGGCGCGAGCAGGUGCGAAAGCAGGUCAUAGUGAUCCGGUGGUUCUGAAUGGAAGGGCCAUCGCUCAACGGAUAAAAGGUACUCCGGGGAUAACAGGCUGAUACCGCCCAAGAGUUCAUAUCGACGGCGGUGUUUGGCACCUCGAUGUCGGCUCAUCACAUCCUGGGGCUGAAGUAGGUCCCAAGGGUAUGGCUGUUCGCCAUUUAAAGUGGUACGCGAGCUGGGUUUAGAACGUCGUGAGACAGUUCGGUCCCUAUCUGCCGUGGGCGCUGGAGAAUUGAGGGGGGCUGCUCCUAGUACGAGAGGACCGGAGUGGACGCAUCACUGGUGUUCGGGUUGUCAUGCCAAUGGCACUGCCCGGUAGCUAAAUGCGGAAGAGAUAAGUGCUGAAAGCAUCUAAGCACGAAACUUGCCCCGAGAUGAGUUCUCCCUGAGACCUUGAGUCUCCUGAAGGAACGUUGAAGACGACGACGUUGAUAGGUCGGGUGUGUAAGCGCAGCGAUGCGUUGAGCUAACCGAUACUAAUGAACCGUGAGGCUUAACCUU
rnacentral:rRNA from 1 species